AACGAACGCUGGCGGCAUGCCUAACACAUGCAAGUCGAACGAGAUCCUUCGGGGUCUAGUGGCGCACGGGUGCGUAACGCGUGGGAAUCUGCCCUUAGGUUCGGAAUAACAGUUAGAAAUGACUGCUAAUACCGGAUGAUGACGUUAAGUCCAAAGAUUUAUCGCCUGAGGAUGAGCCCGCGUAGGAUUAGCUAGUUGGUGUGGUAAAGGCGCACCAAGGCGACGAUCCUUAGCUGGUCUGAGAGGAUGAUCAGCCACACUGGGACUGAGACACGGCCCAGACUCCUACGGGAGGCAGCAGUGGGGAAUAUUGGACAAUGGGCGCAAGCCUGAUCCAGCAAUGCCGCGUGAGUGAUGAAGGCCUUAGGAUUGUAAAGCUCUUUUACCCGAGAUGAUAAUGACAGUAUCGGGAGAAUAAGCCCCGGCUAACUCCGUG
rnacentral:rRNA from 1 species